ACUCAUGAUUAUGAAGUGAAGAUGCGGAACAUGAAGCGCUUCUUUGAAGAUGGUGAUAAAGUGAAGGUGACACUUCGCUUCCGUGGCCGUGAAAUGGCUCACCAGGAUCUCGGCAUGAAGUUGCUCCUGAAGGUUAAAGCAGAGACUGCGGACAUCGCUAAAGUCGAGUCCCAUCCGAAGCUUGAAGGCCGCCAGAUGAUGAUGGUGCUCUCACCUAUCGCUCGUUAAUACGGGCAGGUUGAAGCGCUCCGGCUUUGUUUCCGUGUAGCUACUCAACCGUAGCCCCAGAGAAUUUUGAGA
rnacentral:misc_RNA from 1 species